rnacentral:rRNA from 1 species
GGAACCGGAGCUAAUACCGGAUAGUUCCUGAACCGCAUGGUUCAAGGAUGAAAGACGGUUUCGGCUGUCACUUACAGAUGGACCGCGGCGCAUAGCUAGUUGGUGGGGUAAUGGCUCACCAAGGCGACGAUGCGUAGCCGACCUGAGAGGGUGAUCGGCCACACUGGGACUGAGACACGGCCCAGACUCCUACGGGAGGCAGCAGUAGGGAAUCUUCCGCAAUGGACGAAAGUCUGACGGAGCAACGCCGCGUGAGUGAUGAAGGUUUUCGGAUCGUAAAGCUCUGUUGUUAGGGAAGAACAAGUGCGAGAGUAACUGCUCGCACCUUGACGGUACCUAACCAGAAAGCCACGGCUAACUACGUGCCAGCAGCCGCGGUAAUACGUAGGUGGCAAGCGUUGUCCGGAAUUAUUGGGCGUAAAGGGCUCGCAGGCGGUUUCUUAAGUCUGAUGUGAAAGCCCCCGGCUCAACCGGGGAGGGUCAUUGGAAACUGGGAAACUUGAGUGCAGAAGAGGAGAGUGGAAUUCCACGUGUAGCGGUGAAAUGCGUAGAGAUGUGGAGGAACACCAGUGGCGAAGGCGACUCUCUGGUCUGUAACUGACGCUGAGGAGCGAAAGCGUGGGGAGCGAACAGGAUUAGAUACCCUGGUAGUCCACGCCGUAAACGAUGAGUGCUAAGUGUUAGGGGGUUUCCGCCCCUUAGUGCUGCAGCUAACGCAUUAAGCACUCCGCCUGGGGAGUACGGUCGCAAGACUGAAACUCAAAGGAAUUGACGGGGGCCCGCACAAGCGGUGGAGCAUGUGGUUUAAUUCGAAGCAACGCGAAGAACCUUACCAGGUCUUGACAUCCUCUGACAACCCUAGAGAUAGGGCUUUCCCUUCGGGGACAGAGUGACAGGUGGUGCAUG